UACGAAGGGGGCUAGCGUUGUUCGGAAUUACUGGGCGUAAAGGGCGCGUAGGCGGCCUUGAUAGUUGGGCGUGAAAGGCCUGGGCUUAACCCGGGAACUGCGUUCAAUACUGCGAGGCUAGAGUGUGGGAGAGGUUGGUGGAAUUCCCAGUGUAGGAGGUGAAAUUCGUAGAUAUUGGGAAGAACACCGGUGGCGAAGGCGGCCAACUGGACCACAACUGACGCUGAGGCGCGAAAGCGUGGGGAGCAAACAGG
rnacentral:rRNA from 1 species